ACCAGACUCCUACGGGAGGCAGCAGUGAGGAAUAUUGGUCAAUGGGCGCGAGCCUGAACCAGCCAAGUCGCGUGAGGGAUGAAGGAUCUAUGGUUCGUAAACCUCUUUUAUAAGGGAAUAAAGCGCGGGACGCGUCCCGCUUCGCAUGUACCUUAUGAAUAAGGAUCGGCUAACUCCGUGCCAGCAGCCGCGGUAAUACGGAGGAUCCGAGCGUUAUCCGGAUUUAUUGGGUUUAAAGGGUGCGUAGGCGGCCUUUUAAGUCAGGGGUGAAAGUGUGUGGCUCAACCAGAGAAUUGCGGUUGAAACUGGGGGGCUUGAGUAUGUUGGGGGCAGGGGGAAUGGGUGGUGUAGCGGUAAA
rnacentral:rRNA from 1 species